rnacentral:lncRNA from 1 species
ACCGAAAACUGUGUCGAACUGUAAUCUUAGUUAAAUAACUGUCGGAUUUUAUUUCUCACUCUACGGGUGUCAAAAUGGUAUGAAACUUUAAAUCUAGUCUCAUAAAAAUAUUUCUGACAUAUCCUCCAAUUUUCAUAAUUUUCUGACACUGUGCAUUUUCUGCUAAUUUAUCUGCCCCGUUUUUCACAGAAAAUUCUAAAUCUUCUAUUUUCGCUCCGAUUUCAGCACAGGUCAUUCCCAACCUAUAUUUCACUUCUCUAAAUACAAUAAAAACAGUAUCUCAUACUAUUUUUAUUUAUUUUUAUUUUUAUAUUUAAAAUCCGGUAUGUUACAUUCCACCGCAACCUCACCGGAACCAUUUAAACGUACACCGUAACUUCAUAAUUUUAUAAGUUCGGUAUGUUACAAUAGCUUUCAUCGCAAAUCGGCGACCAUAUUGGGUGAAACAAAAUAGUAGUUUCGAUGCUCCGGUCGUGCUGAACGUGCUAGCGCAGGCUGAUCGCAACGGAUCUCCGGGAAUCGCAUAAAGAUCGAGAAGCGGUUGAAAGUGGCAAA